CAACAUUUUAACUCAUACUUUAUGAAAUUUCUAGGGUAAAAUAGAGUUUAACACUGUCAAAUACUUUAUCAAGUAUAUAGAAUCACAGAUAAAUGUUUCCGGGGGACUAAAUUACUGCCGCACCGCGCCAAACUACAAAACCGCCUGUCAACUCCACCACAAGAAAAAUAUAAAUAUUUAAAAUGCCCGUGAAGAGAGCCCUUCAGUUACAAGACAAAGAAAACCCCAUUUUAAAGUGACAUCAGAACCAUAGCCCAGCUAAGAGGCGAGCACCAAACAGAGACUAUUCCCCUAUGACUGGAACCCAAAUGAGUCCCACAACAAAACCUGCAGCAGGUAAUUCCAGAGCAGGUGGGAAGAAAGCGAAUCCCCCUCAAACAAAAGAGCCCAUGACAGAUG